UGCGUUCGCGCGCGUGUGC
rnacentral:misc_RNA from 1 species